GGCCAGAGUAGUGGUCAGCUGCAGGCUAGGGAGGCCAGGCAGGCAAGAUCCUUCUGCUGGGGAAAGGAGCUUGAGGCUGGAACCCUCCAGGACAGGGACUCUCAGAAUGUGAGACCAGAGAACUAAGAACAGGAGGCUCAGAGAGGUUGUGACCUUUCCAAGUUCCUGUAGCCACUAAGUGGCAGAGCUGAGAAUGGAAUCCAGGUCUGAUCUGACAACCCAAGCCCUAAAGGGCGGAGUCUGUGGAGUUGAAAUCAGGACACGGCGAGAGGAAGAGUUAUAUAACUGGGAGAAGCCGAGAAGGACGAGUGAGGACCGGGAGAGACAGCCCGAAAGGAGCCGAGGGAGAUGCCUCCUCCACAUUGGCUGCCAAGGCCCUGAUGUCAGGGGCAGCCGCUGGAGCGGAUUGGGCGGACGCGCGAGUUCGGGAAUCUGGCCCCGGAGUCUAGCUCUCCAGUUACUCUGGCAACAGGGCAAGCAACCCCCCAGAGGGAAGGGGAACGGAGCUCAUCACCGCUCCUGGGUCCCGCCUCCCUCCGGACUCACACCGAGUCCGUUUCUGUGGCAGCGCAGCUCGCUGCUCCCCGGCUUCCUCCUAGGGCUCUCUGUGUCUCGAGAACCUGGCGACCUGCCCUCGACCUUCGCCGCGGUCUCCCAGCCCCCCACCCUGCCAACUCCCAUCCUAAGUC
ensembl:lncRNA